AAAAAUGAUCCAAAUGCAGGAACAGAGUCCAUAUCAGAUACAAUCCCCACUCCACUUGCUAGAGAACCUACAUGCACAUAAACGUGUUUCCAAGGUAAGAACAGAAACACAAAGCACAGCAUUGAGAACUAAAACACGUACAUCUUGCUUUCUUAACUAGGUUGGGAAGAAAACAGAAAAGUUGUAUCUCGCGCCGUAGAGAAGAGCACAUAAACGUGUUUCCAAGAUGCUGCUGUCUCAGAUGGGAGACCUGAGGGCAUCAUUCUUGCCCUGGGUUCUGAGGAUACCUCGACCCCAGUUGCACACAGAAGAAUCCCUAAAGUGGUGAGCGCAGAUAUCAGCUACCUUGUCUUCUUGUCUCAUCCCUUCUUUUGCUUUUACCUUGCGUGAGAAGGUGGUCCUCACAGACUGUGCUUAGAUAGUCCAAACUGCAGCAUCUACGACUUCAGCAUGCCCACAGUGAAAGAUUCUGCCUGCUUUGAAGCCUCUAGGCAACACAUUCCCUUAGGGGAGGAUUGGUGGGGAUUAGUGCUUCUGAGACCUUGUCUGGGUUCUGAGGUUGGAACCAAUCAGUCCCUGUUGUCUUCAUCACAGGAAGCCAGGAGCUCUGGGAUGCUCUCAGCAUUCUGAUACCUCUAUCAUGUUCACAGAUGUCUGGACCCAUGGAGUGGCCACAUAUACAAGACACACACAUAUGUUUACAUCCAGAAUCAGGGACACACACAUCCAAGGCCUUCACCCAGAUCUUCAGGGUUUUGAACAAAUCGGCCUCUGUCUACCAGUCCUCUUCCUGAUGCUUCCCCAGGAUGCUUACAAGGGCCCAGGUGCCAUGGCCCUCAUUGACUCAGCUGGAGCUCCGCCCAUCCUCCCACCUGUGCUGAGCUCUGCAUCUUCUCAAAGGGCUGUGACUGAGAGGCACAGCAGCACUAAUGGGAGAGUAGUGGGAUUCUGUAGAGUCCUGUGACAGCAGAAUGGUUCAUCACUUCUCAGAACCUCAUUCAUAGCUGCAAUUAAAAAGCUUAUUGAA